rnacentral:rRNA from 1 species
CCCUUAGAUGUUCUGGGCCGCACGCGCGCUACACUGACGAAUGCAACGAGCUUAUAACCUUGGCCGAAAGGUCUGGGUAAUCUCCAAAUUUCGUCGUGAUGGGGAUAGAUUAUUGCAAUUAUUAAUCUUCAACGAGGAAUGCCUAGUAAGCGCAAGUCAUCAGCUUGCGUUGAUUACGUCCCUGCCCUUUGUACACACCGCCCGUCGCUCCUACCGAUUGAAUGAUCCGGUGAGCUUUUUGGACUGUGGUCACGGCUUUGGUUCGCCAAACUGAGGCCGCGGGAAGAUGCGCAAACCUUAUCAUUUAGAGGAAGGAGAAGUCGUAACA